GAGGGUUGAUAGGUUAAGAGCUAAUUGACUGGACGUUACCCACAGAAGAAGCACCGGCUAACUCCGUGCCAGCAGCCGCGGUAAUACGGAGGGUGCGAGCGUUAAUCGGAAUUACUGGGCGUAAAGGGUGCGUAGGUGGUUGAUUAAGUUAUCUGUAAAAUCCCCGGGCUCAACCUGGGCAGGUCAGAUAAUACUGGUUAACUCGAGUAUGGGAGAGGGUAGUGGAAUUUCCGGUGUAGCGGUGAAAUGCGUAGAGAUCGGAAGGAACACCAGUGGCGAAGGCGGCUACCUGGCCCAAUACUGACACUGAGGCACGAAAGCGUGGGGAGCAAACAGGAUUAGAUACCCUGGUAGUCCACGCCGUAAACGAUGUCAACUAGCUGUUGGAUAUAUGAAUAUAUUUAGUGGCGAAGCAAACGCGAUAAGUUGACCA
rnacentral:rRNA from 1 species